AUAAAUAAAUGAAACGCCCUUAAUUUUUUUCCCCCUUCUAUAACUUGUGUAUAAUACAGGUAAGUGUCAGAAUUGCAGCGUCGAUGCAGUCUUGCAUGGGUGGAAUGUGCUUUCUAUAUCGGGAACUAUAAGUGUCACCACCCUUGCCCUCCGCCCUGAGUUGUCAGGGUAACAAAAUCCAUGUCAAAUGUGUUAAGGGAAACUGGAGCUGUUUUGUGAAAAAUGCA